rnacentral:rRNA from 1 species
CUACGGGAGGCAGCAGUGGGGAAUUUUGGACAAUGGGCGCAAGCCUGAUCCAGCCAUGCCGCGUGAGGUAAGAAGGCCUUCGGGUUGUAAACCGCUUUUUCAGGGAAGAAAUUAG